GACGAACGCUGGCGGCGUGCUUAACACAUGCAAGUCGAACGGAAAGGCCCUGCUUGCAGGGUGCUCGAGUGGCGAACGGGUGAGUAACACGUGGGUGAUCUGCCCCUUACUUUGGGAUAAGCCUGGGAAACUGGGUCUAAUACUGGGUAGGACCAUGCUGUAGGUGGUGUGGUGGAAAGAUUAGUUUCGGUAAGGGAUGAGCUCGCGGCCUAUCAGCUUGUUGGUGGGGUAAUGGCCUACCAAGGCGUCGACGGGUAGCCGGCCUGAGAGGGUGGACGGCCACAUUGGGACUGAGAUACGGCCCAGACUCCUACGGGAGGCAGCAGUGGGGAAUAUUGCACAAUGGGCGCAAGCCUGAUGCAGCGACGCCGCGUGGGGGAUGACGGCCUUCGGGUUGUAAACUCCUUUCAGCCAUGACGAAGCCCUUGUGGUGACGGUAGUGGUAGAAGAAGCACCGGCUAACUACGUG
rnacentral:rRNA from 1 species